GCUGCUCUGUCGGAAGUCUGGUUUGUCUGAGGCUCACAGGGUGGCAAGAGGUGAGGUUUUUCUGUAUGGAUGACAUCUGAGGCAGUGCCAAUUCAGAACAAAUGCUCAGAGCCUGCGUGGUGGAAUCCGAAAUGAAAGCAGCUUUAAUGAAUAAGAACAGAAAGCACAAUGUAUAUUCCUUCUCCCAAGAUUAUCCACUUUGCUGAAUAAAAGCAUUUCAAUGAGAAAAUUGAUGCUGUUCUUUAGCCCCUGGACCGUUCCUAGUUGGACAUUUUGAAAAGCAGUAAAGAAGCACACCACUACUGUUCAUAACACUGCAGAAGCUGAUGGAAAGCAGUUCCUGGGUCAAGGGAGGAGCAGAGAAGCAAGCUGGAUGGUGCCUGGCUGUUUUGAGCAGAACCAAGUUGAUCAAGGAAUUAAGGAAGGAUUAAGCAAGCUGGAAGGCGCCUGCUAAUCCGGCAAUCAGACAGACCUACGAGAAUCCAUCCCACCUCCUUUCUUAAGCUGUGAUCAUAAAAUAAUGGAGUGACUGCCUCUUUUGUUAAUUAGAAGAUCAGCAAAAAGCAGGUAGGAAACAGAGGCUGCAAUCAGCUUACCCCGUGAGAUGACUCCUCAAGGCAAAAAGCUGGUGACAUGGUUCCCAGGGAUGAGCGCGUACCCUCGGCCUCAGUGUGGCUGUGCUGUCAGUGAGGACUCUGGGCUCAGUGGGUCCCAACCUGACUCCUUCUUAGCUUGUGACACCUAGGGAGUUAAGCCUUAUAUUUCAGCUUCUUUUGUAAAGCGAUAGGCUGGUACCUGUCUCACCAACUGGCUAGAGAGACCAAGGGGUUUUGAUAUAUGAAGUCUUUAGAAUAGUGCCUACCACAAAUCUGUGCCUAUCAGCUUUUGUCUUUUCAUUAGUAAAUACAUACUUU